GUACCAUAACCGACACAGGUGGGUAGGUAGAGUAUACUAAGGGGCGCGAGAUAACUCUCUCUAAGGAACUCGGCAAAAUGACUCCGUAACUUCGGGAGAAGGAGUGCCUUAUUUAUAAGGUUGCAAUAACAAGAUCCAAGCAACUGUUUAUCAAAAACACAGGUCUCCGCUAAGUCGUAAGACGAUGUAUGGGGGCUGACGCCUGCCCAGUGCCAGAAGGUUAAAGAAGUUGGUUAGUGUAUGCGAAGCUGAUGACUGAAGCCCUGGUGAACGGCGGCCGUAACUAUAACGGUCCUAAGGUAGCGAAAUUCCUUGUCGGGUAAGUUCCGACCCGCACGAAAGGCGUAAUGAUUUGGAUACUGUCUCGGAGAGAGGCUCGGUGAAAUAGACUUGUCUGUGAAGAUGCGGACUACCUGCACCAGGACAGAAAGACCCUAUGAAGCUUUACUGUAACUUGAAAUUGGAAUUGGACUUUGCUUGCGCAGUAUAGGUGGGAAGCGUUGAAGAUAUUCUUGCGGGAGUAUUGGAGCUAUCAGUGAGAUACCACUCUUGUAAUGUUAGAUUUCUAACUUUGAACCAUAAUCUGGUCAAAGAACAGUUUCAGGUGGGCAGUUUGACUGGGGCGGUCGCCUCCCAAAUGGUAACGGAGGCGUACAAAGGUUUCCUCUGAACGGAUAGAAAUCGUAUCUAGAGUGUAAAGGCAUAAGGAAGCUUGACUGUGAGACCUACAAGUCGAGCAGGGACGAAAGUCGGUCUUAGUGAUCUGACGGUACUGAGUGGAAAGGCCGUCACUCAACGGAUAAAAGUUACUCUAAGGAUAACAGGCUGAUCUCCCCCAAGAGUUCACAUCGACGGGGAGGUUUGGCACCUCGAUGUCGGCUCAUCGCAUCCUGGGGCGGUAGUACGUCCCAAGGGUUGGGCUGUUCGCCCAUGAAAGCGGUACGCGAGCUGGGUUCAGAACGUCGUGAGACAGUUCGGUCCAUAUCCGGUGUAGGCGUUAGAAUAUUGAGAGGAGCCUUCUUUAGUACGAGAGGACCGAGAAGGACACACCGCUGGUGUACCAGUUAUCGUGCCAACGGUAAACGCUGGGUAGCUAUGUGUGGAGUGGAUAACCGCUGAAAGCAUCUAAGUGGGAAGCCCACCUCAAGAUGGGUUAACCUGGUAAGGUCACGGGAAGACCACCCGUUGAUAGGCACUCGGUGGAAGUCCAGCAAUGGAUGAAGCCAA
rnacentral:rRNA from 1 species